CAAAAGGCUCUUUUCAGAGCCACUCACCACCUCAAAAGAAGAGCUA
rfam:Otolemur garnettii contig059033, whole genome shotgun sequence.